UACGGGGGGGGCAAGCGUUGUCCGGAAUUAUUGGGCGUAAAGAGCUCGUAGGCGGUUUGUUGCGUCGGCCGUGAAGACUUCACGCUUAACGUGGAGCUUGCGGUCGAUACGGGCAGACUUGAGUUCGGUAGGGGAGACUGGAAUUCCUGGUGUAGCGGUGAAAUGCGUAGAGAUCGGAAAGAACACCAACGGCGAAAGCACUCUGCUGGGCCGACACUGACACUGAGAGACGAAAGCUAGGGGAGCGAAUGGG
rnacentral:rRNA from 1 species